AGUUAAUGAACUUGUAAAAGUGUAUAUUUUGAAAAUAUAAAAAAGAAAUAAAAACUUUCUAUUAACUU
rnacentral:tRNA from 1 species